rnacentral:rRNA from 1 species
AUUGAACGCUGGCGGCAUGCCUUACACAUGCAAGUCGAACGGCAGCACGGGAGCAAUCCUGGUGGCGAGUGGCGAACGGGUGAGUAAUGUAUCGGAACGUGCCCAGUCGUGGGGGAUAACGCAGCGAAAGCUGUGCUAAUACCGCAUACGAUCUAUGGAUGAAAGCGGGGGAUCGCAAGACCUCGCGCGAUUGGAGCGGCCGAUAUCAGAUUAGGUAGUUGGUGGGGUAAAGGCCCACCAAGCCGACGAUCUGUAGCUGGUCUGAGAGGACGACCAGCCACACUGGGACUGAGACACGGCCCAGACUCCUACGGGAGGCAGCAGUGGGGAAUUUUGGACAAUGGGCGCAAGCCUGAUCCAGCAAUGCCGCGUGCAGGAUGAAGGCCUUCGGGUUGUAAACUGCUUUUGUACGGAGCGAAACGGCUUCCACUAAUACUGGGGGCUAAUGACGGUACCGUAAGAAUAAGCACCGGCUAACUACGUGCCAGCCGCCGCAGUAA